rnacentral:rRNA from 1 species
CAGUAGCCGCGGUAAUACGGAGGGUGCAAGCGUUAAUCGGAAUUACUGGGCGUAAAGCGCACGCAGGCGGUCUGACAAGUCAGAUGUGAAAUCCCCGGGCUUAACCUGGGAACUGCAUUUGAAACUGUCAGGCUGGAGCCUUGUAGAGGGGGGUGGAAUUCCAGGUGUAGCGGUGAAAUGCGUAGAGAUCUGGAGGAAUACCGGUGGCGAAGGCGGCCCCCUGGACAAAGACUGACGCUCAGGUGCGAAAGCGUGGGGAGCAAACAGGAUUAGAUACCCCUGUAGUCCCUGUCUCUUAUAC